rnacentral:rRNA from 1 species
UGGGGAAUUUUGGACAAUGGGGGCAACCCUGAUCCAGCCAUGCCGCGUGAGUGAAGAAGGCCUUCGGGUUGUAAAGCUCUUUCGGCGGGGACGAAACGGUCCGUGACAACACCACGGACUAAUGACAGUACUCGCAGAAGAAGCACCGGCUAACUACGUGCCAGCAGCCGCGGUAAUACGUAGGGUGCAGGCGUUAAUCGGAAUUACUGGGCGUAAAGCGUGCGCAGGUGGCUCCUUAAGUCAGAUGUGAAAUCCCCGGGCUUAACCUGGGAACUGCGUUUGAAACUGAGGAGCUAGAGUGUGGAAGAGGGGGGUGGAAUUCCAGGUGUAGCAGUGAAAUGCGUAGAGAUCUGGAGGAACACCGAUGGCGAAGGCAGCCCCCUGGGCUAACACUGACGCUCAUGCACGAAAGCGUGGGGAGCAAACAGGAUUAGAUACCCCUGUAGUCCCUGAGCGGGCUGGCAAGGCGCAU